AGUGAACGCUGGCGGUAGGCCUAACACAUGCAAGUCGAACGGCAGCACAGUAAGAGCUUGCUCUUACGGGUGGCGAGUGGCGGACGGGUGAGGAAUACAUCGGAAUCUACUUUUUCGUGGGGGAUAACGUAGGGAAACUUACGCUAAUACCGCAUACGACCUACGGGUGAAAGCAGGGGAUCUUCGGACCUUGCGCGAUUGAAUGAGCCGAUGUCGGAUUAGCUAGUUGGCGGGGUAAAGGCCCACCAAGGCGACGAUCCGUAGCUGGUCUGAGAGGAUGAUCAGCCACACUGGAACUGAGACACGGUCCAGACUCCUACGGGAGGCAGCAGUGGGGAAUAUUGGACAAUGGGCGCAAGCCUGAUCCAGCCAUCCCGCGUGGGUGAAGAAGGCCUUCGGGUUGUAAAGCCCUUUUGUUGGGAAGGAAAGGCAGCAGGUUAAUCCCCCGCUGUUCUGCCGUUACCCAAAGAAUAAGCCCCGGCUAACUUCGUG
rnacentral:rRNA from 1 species